rnacentral:rRNA from 1 species
UAACCUGCCCAAGAGAUCGGGAUAACACCUGGAAACAGAUGCUAAUACCGGAUAACAACAGAUGAUGCCUAUCAACUGUUUAAAAGAUGGUUCUGCUAUCACUCUUGGAUGGACCUGCGGUGCAUUAGCUAGUUGGUAGGGUAACGGCCUACCAAGGCGAUGAUGCAUAGCCGAGUUGAGAGACUGAUCGGCCACAUUGGGACUUAGACACGGCCCAAACUCCUACGGGAGGCAGCAGCA